rnacentral:rRNA from 1 species
UACGUAGGGGCCAAGCGUUACCCGGAUUUACUGGGCGUAAAGGGCGCGUAGGCGGCCACCGCAAGUCGGUUGUGAAAUCUCUGGGCUUAGCCCAGAAAGGUCAAUCGAUACUGCGGGGCUAGAGUGCAGAAGGGGCAACUGGAAUUCUCGGUGUAGCGGUGAAAUGCGUAGAUAUCGAGAGGAACACCUGCGGCGAAGGCGGGUUGCUGGGCUGAUACUGACGCUGAGGCGCGAAAGCCAGGGGAGCGAACGGG